rnacentral:lncRNA from 1 species
GUGAAAAAGAUAACCCCCAAAAUUAUAGUAUUAUUGAUAUUAGCUAGUUUUGUAUCUAACUUAGCAAAUGUAUUUAUACAUUUCUCUUCUAGCUGAAUAAAUAAAUAUGUUCUACAAAUGUUCUUUGUAUUUUUUGGAAGCGGGAAGAUUAAGUAUAAGUGUCAGUUCAAUGGAUUUUCGCCAAUUGAACCCACCAAAAGGAACCAGCACUUGAAUCAGAAUGCAGACCAUGCUUGCCACCCUAGAAGCCUCUCCAAUCACAGCUGAGACAAGAAAGUACAGCCACUACCUGACUUCUAAUCACAUAGACUGGUUUUGCAUUUUACAUAUAGUGGACCCUUUUGAAGUCAUGGUUGUUCCAGGAAGAAUCCCUUGAAUGCUCCCCUCCAGCUAAGGUCACAAAAGGAAAGGGGGCCCUGGUCACUAUAGCAAAGUGGACUGAACACUUAUUGGACAUACUGAUGUGGAUCUGAGAUCUGUGGCAUAAGCUUUACCCACUUUGCCAUGCGACUGUUCGUGCACCAAAUUGCCUGCGAAAUGAAGAGCUCAAAAUGGAAGACCAGUUUCCAAGCAAGAGUAAAAAGAUUCACAGAAGAUGGAAGCUGCCUUCUUAUCAUGAUGCCAGAGGACAUAAGAUUUGCAGAAGUGCUUGUUUCUAAGAGCACAAAUGAGAAUGUGGAGAAGGGAAAAAGAUAUCUCCCACUAUGCCCACCAUUCAUUAUAAUUCCCGGUGGACUGCUGCCAUGGAAGAUAUGAAGCUGAAGCCAUGAGCAGAAAGAAGUGAUUGGUAGGUAGAAAUGUUGGAGGAUUUUCUGCAAAGGAGGUGACAUUUGUAAGACAUUUUGAACGUUAAGUAGGAUUUUUAUCAGGCAGCCAAGUUGAAAAGGGCAUUCAAAAUAACAAGAGCAAAACCUAAGAGAUAUAAAAUAUAUAGCUCACUUGGCAAAUAGUGAGAAUUCACUCAGAAAAGGUUCAUGUUACUGGAAUUGACAGAGAGAGAAAUGAAGAGUAGUGUGUGUGUGUGAGUGUGCAGUUGUGUGUGAAAAAGGCAAUUUGUUCACAUAUUAUGGUUCUUUUAAAAAAUGUCACACCAAGGAUCUAGAUUUUAAUCUUGAGCAAUCAGAAACCAAUAAAGAAAUUUUCAGUAGAGAUUUGACA